rnacentral:lncRNA from 12 species
GCUAGGCUCAGUUUCCCCAGCUACUCAUAGGGUGCCUGGGCAAAUUAGAUGAGUGAGCCACCCUAGGGCCUGGCAGACGCAUCCCAGAGCUCUCUAUCACACAGCAGUGUCUGCAUUGCAGCGUAAGUGAGAGGCCAAGAUGCGGAACGGGGAGGUUGGUGGGGAUUUUGUUCCUGCUGGGCCCGACGUCAGUGUUUCUGAGAAAUGGACCAGCAAGGGAGCUGAUCCAUGCAGGUGCCCUCUGGGAAGUGCGUGGUCCUGAAGGCCGGGGCAGGAGGAAGCUCAGGACGUCUAGUGGAGUGGGGGCCAGCCCUGCCGCCCGCCAGCCGCUGUCUGUCUGGGCUCCUGGUCCGUCCAUCCUGCUGCGGCUUUCCCAGGGGAGCCGGCCGGGAAACCAGAGCUGCGGGCAGGAGGCGAGGGCCGUUUCAUCCACCUUGGGAUGGCAGUGAGUUACAGGUGAGGCCAUUGUUCCUGCGCACAGGUGGGGAUAAUGCGUCCUGACAGCCCCAAGGAUGGGCCCCUGGCAGGCCCGCCGGCCUGGCCCGAGCCCCAGGCUGGCGCUCGUGGGCACCCGCAUUACGGAACGUCCUGUGAGCGCUCCCCACGGCCUGGCCUCUUCAUGUGCUUCCAGCGCCCGCGGCUUGGACACACCUGGGAGCAGCGUGGCCCAUUCACUGAGCGCUUUGGCGAAGGUCACCAUCAGCCAGGGACAGAGGAUCUCAAGAGGUAGCUCACUGCAGGACACAUUUAUUUGGCAUUCGUCUCCCAUGGAGAAGCUGCCCAUGUCAGGCCUGGAAGAUUGGAGACCCUGGACGAUGUGGGUAGAAGUGAAUCAAGAGGCCUGUGUGAACGCGGCCAGCUCCUUGCUUCUCGGGACCUUCUCUGCUUCCCUGGAAGGGAGGCAGGUGGCACGGUGGUUAGGAGCUUGGGCUCUGGGCUCAGGCUGCCCCUCUCUGGCUGCGUGUCCUUGGAAAACUGCUUUGCACCUCAUUGCGCGCAUCUGUAAAAUAGGGAUCCUUGUAGUAAUAAAAUGAGCUAAUACAUGUAGGCUGAUCUAAGAGCUAGGAUACAUGUGAAGCUGCUGGUGUGCGAUGGAAGCUUAGAAGGCGCCAGUGGUUUUCUCACUGAAGGGGCUCACUUGCGAGGGGAGCAGCCAGCGCCACGGCCUGUAAGAGUCAGAGCCACGAGGGGCCACGGUCCCAUCUUGCAGGUGGGAAAACCGACACCGAGAGGCUCUGAGGAGGCUGCUCAGCCACACAGGCAGCAGGAGGCCUGCUAGGGACUCUGCAUGCCCCCCUUCCCAGCACCAUGCCUGGUGGCCUCUCAGCUGGGAACUUACUCAGAAGGAACACACGACCUUCAAAAUGGCCUUGGCUCAGCAGAAUGCUGGGCAUGUGGCAACAGACGUUCCCAAGGCCCUUGCCUCCGGUGGGGUCAGGGAUCGGGGCCCCUGUUGGGCAUCUUGAGAGCAGUUGUGGCUGGAGGGGGCUGGCGGUGGAGGAAUCGGGAGCUCCUCCCAACUCGCUUAAGCCACAGAGGCCCCAACAGGCCCCUAGGUGAUUCCCGGCGUUUCUGGCAAUGGCACGGUGCCCCCCCGGCCCCUGGUCCAAGCUUGCCUGGGGUCGUAUGUCA